rnacentral:rRNA from 1 species
GAUGAACGCUAGCGGCAGGCUUAACACAUGCAAGUCGAGGGGCAGCACAGGUGGCAACACCGGGUGGCGACCGGCGUAAGGGUGCGUAACACGUGAGCAACAUACCCGUAUCUGGAGGAUAACCGGAGGAAACUCUGCCUAAUACUCCAUAAUAUCAUCGUACGGCAUCGUUUGGUGAUUAAAGAUUUAUCGGACACGGAUUGGCUCGCGGGACAUUAGCUUGUUGGUGGGGUAACGGCUCACCAAGGCCACGAUGUCUAGGGGUUCUGAGAGGAAGGUCCCCCACACUGGAACUGAGACACGGUCCAGACUCCUACGGGAGGCAGCAGUGAGGAAUAUUGGACAAUGGUCGGAAGACUGAUCCAGCCAUGCCGCGUGAAGGUUACGGUCCUAUGGAUUUUAAACUUCUUUUGUAUGGAAGCAAUAAGGUGCACGUGUGCAUCGAUGAGAGUACCAUACGAAUAAGCAUCGGCUAACUCCGUGCCAGCAGCCGCGGUAAUACGGAGGAUGCAAGCGUUAUCCGGAUUUAUUGGGUUUAAAGGGUGCGUAGGCGGAUUAAUAAGUCAGCGGUGAAACUCACAGGCUCAACCUGUGCCGUGCCGUUGAAACUGUUUAUCUUGAAUGCGGAUGCUGUGGGAGGAAUGUGUAGUGUAGCGGUGAAAUGCAUAGAUAUUACACAGAACACCGAUUGCGAAGGCAUCUCACAAAGCCGUGAUUGACGCUGAGGCACGAAAGUGUGGGGAUCAAACAGGAUUAGAUACCCUGGUAGUCCACUACUGUAAACGAUGAUAACUCGCUGCCGGCGAUAUAUAGUCGGUGGCCCAGCGAAAGCGAUAAGUNAUCCACCUGGGGAGUACGACCGCAAGGUUGAAACUCAAAGGAAUUGACGGGGGCCCGCACAAGCGGAGGAACAUGUGGUUUAAUUCGAUGAUACGCGAGGAACCUUACCCGGGCUCGAACGGCAGAUGACGUAUACAGAGACGUAUAUUCUCUUCGGAGCGUCUGUCGAGGUGCUGCAUGGUUGUCGUCAGCUCGUGCCGUGAGGUGUCGGCUUAAGUGCCAUAACGAGCGCAACCCUUGUCGAUAGUUGCCAUCGGGUUAUGCCGGGGACUCUAUCGAGACUGCCUCCGUAAGGUGUGAGGAAGGGGGGGAUGACGUCAAAUCAGCACGGCCCUUACGUCCGGGGCGACACACGUGUUACAAUGGUGGUUACAGAGGGUCGCUCCCUGGUGACAGGCUGCCAAUCUCCAAAAGCCAUCUCAGUUCGGAUCGGAGUCUGCAACUCGACUCCGUGAAGUUGGAUUCGCUAGUAAUCGCACAUCAGCCACGGUGCGGUGAAUACGUUCCCGGGCCUUGUACACACCGCCCGUCAAGCCAUGGAAGUUGGGGGUGCCUGAAGUCCGUCACCGCGAGGAACGGCCUAGGGCAAAACUGAUAACUGGGGCU